rnacentral:rRNA from 1 species
AUCACUAAGCGGAGGAAAAGAAACUAACAAGGAUUACCCUAGUAACUGCGAGUGAACCGGUAACAGCUCAGACUUAAAAUCUCUUCUCUUCGGGAAGCGAAUUGUAAGCUGAAGACGCGGCCCUUACGCGAGUCAGUGUGGAGUAACUCGGUUGGAAUACCGGACCAUAGAGGGUGCUAGUCCCGUACCUCCUCACUGACUGCGGUAGGACGUGUUCACAGAGUCGGGUAGUUUGGGAUUGCUGCCCAAAGUGGGAGGUAGACUCCUUCUAAAGCUAAAUACCUACAGGAGACCGAUAGCGAACAAGUACUGUGAAGGAAAGAUGAAAAGCACUUUGAAAAGAGAGUUAAAAGACUUGAAAUCGCUGAGGAGGAAGCAGUCAGCGUAGCUCAGUCUACAGCGCAAAGUUCCUCACGAGGGGCUAGAAGCUGCGACAGUGCAGAGUGGAGGUAGUGCGACGUGUGACCUAGUGCUGUUAGUACAAGGAUCUGCGCCAAACCACCUCAAGGCACUCCGGUGACUCUGCUGCUACGUUAACUGACCCGUCUUGAAACACGGACCAAGGAGUCUAACAUGCGUGCGAGUAGGAGGGUGUCAAACCCCACUGCGCAACGAAAGUGAACCUUGCCAAAUUGGCAGCAAGGACCGCGUUUAGCGAGUUCAGCAGGCAUGUUGGGACCCGAAAGAUGGUGAACUAUGCUUGGGAAAGGCGAAGCCAGGGGAAACUCUGGUGGAGGCUUGUAGAGAUACUGACGUGCAAAUCGUUCUUCUAACCUGAGUAUAGGGGCGAAAGACUAAUCGAACCAUCUAGUAGCUGGUUCCCUCCGAAAUUUCCCUCAGGAUAGCUGGAACCAUGCAGUUUUAUCGGGUAAAGCGAAUGAUUAGAGGUUCGGGGAUUGUAACAAUCUUCACCUAUUCUCAAACUUUGAAUCGGUAAGGCAGAGGAGUUGCUUAAUUGAACUCUUCUACGAAUGCAGGUUCCAAGUGGGCCGUUUUUGGUAAGCAGAACUGGCGACGAGGGAUGAACCUAAGGCGAGGUUAAGGCGACCAAUUGGCAGCUCAUCAGAUACCAGAAAAGGUGUUAGUUCAUUUAGACAGUAGGACGGUGGCCAUGGAAGUUGGAAUCCGCUAAGGAGUGUGUAACAACUCACCUACCGAAUGAACUAGCCCUGAAAAUUGAUGUCGCUAAGCGGCCAGCCGAUACCUCGCUGUUCGACUUUACUGGUCGGACAGGUAGGGGGGCGUGAGGGCCGCGGCGAAGUGCAUGUGUGAACAUGUGUGGAGCGACCUUCAGUGCAGAUCUUGGUGGUAGUAGCAAGUAUUCAAAUGAGAACUUUGAAGACUGAAGUGGAGAAGGGUUUCAUGUGAACAGCAUUUGGACAUGAGUUACUCGGUCCUAAGGUCAGGGGGAGUCCCGCGAAGACACUGUCCAGACCGAAAGGGAAUGAGGUUAACAUUCCUCAAGCAGGUGUUGGGUGCUGAGUGGCAACACAACUGAACUCAAAAACGUCGGGGUGAGGUCCCAGGGAGAGUUCUCUUUUCUUCUUAACAAACCGCUGCCCUGGAGGUCUUUGCGACGAGAUAGGGCUACAGGUUUGGAAGAGCAGCACACCCUUAGUGCUGUCUGGUGCGCCUCCCACGGCCCUUGAAACUUUGAGGGAACAACUGCACGCCUGACCGUACCGAUAACCGC